rnacentral:tRNA from 1 species
AGAAAUGUAGCUCAGUGGCAGAGCACCUGCCUGGCAAGCACGAGGCCCUGAGUUCUAUUCCUG